GACGAACCGUACGAACGUUAUUCGGAAUCACUGGGCUUAAAGGGUGCGUAGGCUGCGCAGCAAGUUGGGUGUGAAAUCCCUCGGCUUAACCGAGGAACUGCGCCCAAAACUGCUGUGCUCGAGGGAGACAGAGGUGAGCGGAACUUAGGGUGGAGCGGUGAAAUGCGUUGAUAUCCUAAGGAACACCGGUGGCGAAGGCGGCUCACUGGGUCUCUUCUGACGCUGAGGCACGAAAGCUAGGGGAGCGAACGGG
rnacentral:rRNA from 1 species